UACGUAGGGUGCGAGCGUUAAUCGGAAUUACUGGGCGUAAAGCGUGCGCAGGCGGUUGUGUAAGACAGGUGUGAAAUCCCCGGGCUUAACCUGGGAACUGCGCUUGGGACUGCAAGGCUUGAGUGCGGCAGAGGAGACUGGAAUUCCUGGUGUAGCAGUGAAAUGCGUAGAUAUGCGGAGGAACACCGAUGGCGAAGGCAAUCCCCUGGACCUGUACUGACGCUCAUGCACGAAAGCGUGGGGAGCAAACAGG
rnacentral:rRNA from 1 species